rnacentral:lncRNA from 1 species
GGCUUCAUUUUCUUAUAAAUUUUAUUGUCCCAUAGAGUUCUUAUAUUGUGGUAUCAAAGUUCAGGGUCUGUUCUCCUUCCAACAGCCAUCAAGAUCUGGGUCUGUUCUCGGGUCCUAUAAAAAAAAUUUAUGAAUUUUAUUUUAAAGAUCUGCGACAUAUUUAUUUAUUUUUUAAAAGGGCUGGAAUACUAUUUGAAUAAAUAAAAAAAAUUAAAGAAAAAAGGAGAAGGCCGAGGCCCUCC